UUGAAUGCUGAUGGAUGCUCACUA
rnacentral:piRNA from 1 species